rfam:Schistosoma mattheei strain Denwood, Zambia genome assembly, scaffold: SMTD_scaffold0007050
AUUCAGCUGACUAGUCCCAAAUAGGACGAAAUGCGCGUUUCAAAU